UACAGGGGGUGCAAACGUUGCUCGGAAUUAUUGGGCGUAAAGCGCGCGUAGGCGGCCGCUUAAGUCGGAUGUGAAAGCCCCUGGCUCAACUGGGGAAGUGCACCCGAAACUGAGUGGCUUGAGUACUAAAGAGGGUCGCGGAAUUCCCGGUGUAGAGGUGAAAUUCGUAGAUAUCGGGAGGAACACCGGUGGCGAAGGCGGCGACCUGGGUAGAUACUGACACUCAACUACGAAAGCGUGGGGAGCAAACAGG
rnacentral:rRNA from 1 species